rnacentral:rRNA from 1 species
UUAAAUCAGCUAUGGUUCCUUAGAUCGUACAUGCUACAUGGAUAACUGUAGUAAUUCUAGAGCUAAUACAUGCCACUAUGCCCUGACCCGCAAGGGAACGGGUGGAUUUAUUAGAACAGAACCAACCGGGAGCGGCUUCGGUCGUUCCUGUUGCACUCUGUGAUGACUCUGGAUAACUUUACUGAUCGCAGUCGGCCUUGUGUCGGCGACGGAUCUUUCAAAUGUCUGCCCUAUCAACUUUCGAUGGUAGGUGAUCUGCCUACCAUGGUGAUAACGGGUAACGGGGAAUCAGGGUUCGAUUCCGGAGAGGGAGCCUGAGAAACGGCUACCACAUCCAAGGAAGGCAGCAGGCGCGAAAAUUACCCACUCCCGGCACGGGGAGGUAGUGACGAAAAAUACGAAUACGGGACUCACUCGAGGCUCCGUAAUUCGAAUGAGUACAAUCUAAAUCCUUUAACGAGGACCAAUUGGAGGGCAAGUCUGGUGCCAGCAGCCGCGGUAACUCCAGCUCCAAAAGCGUAUAUUAAAGUUGCUGCAGUUAAAAAGUUCGUAGUUGGAUCUGGGUCGUGCGUUUCACAUGUCAUCGCUUGGGUUUGGCUAUCGUCAUUUCCAAGAGGUGUUAAAGUGGUCGUGCAGCCUUUUCAGCCGUGUCUGCGUGAGCAGGUGUUGGUUGGUUGGGUGAGCUUUGCUUGCUAGCUAACUGGCCAUGUUUCCUGAUGCCCUUUAACCGGGUGUCGGGGGCGUACGGCACUUUUUACUUUUGAACAAAUUUUGAGUGCUCCAAGCAGGGCAAAGCGCCCUGAAAAGUCUUGGCAUGGAAUAAUGGAAUAGGACUUCCGAUUCCUAUUUUUGUUGGUUUCCGGGAUUCCGAGUAAAUGGCUAAGAGGAACAAAACGGGGGCCAUUUUGUAUUGGCGGCGUUGAGACGUUGAAAAUUCCUUAUUGAUCGUCCGCCGAACCAACCUUACCACGGCCGAAGUAUUUUUGGCCCAAGGAAUAGUGUUUCUUCUCAUCGUUGA